GAUGAACGCUGGCGGCGUGCCUAAUACAUGCAAGUCGAGCGAACAGAUAAGGAGCUUGCUCCUUUGACGUUAGCGGCGGACGGGUGAGUAACACGUGGGUAACCUACCUAUAAGACUGGGAUAACUUCGGGAAACCGGAGCUAAUACCGGAUAACAUUUGGAACCGCAUGGUUCUAAAGUGAAAGAUGGUUUUGCUAUCACUUAUAGAUGGACCCGCGCCGUAUUAGCUAGUUGGUAAGGUAACGGCUUACCAAGGCGACGAUACGUAGCCGACCGGAGAGGGUGAUCGGCCACACUGGAACUGAGACACGGUCCAGACUCCUACGGGAGGCAGCAGUAGGGAAUCUUCCGCAAUGGGCGAAAGCCUGACGGAGCAACGCCGCGUGAGUGAUGAAGGGUUUCGGCUCGUAAAACUCUGUUAUUAGGGAAGAACAAACGUGUAAGUAACUGUGCACGUCUUGACGGUACCUAAUCAGAAAGCCACGGCUAACUACGUGCCAGCCGCCGCCGUAACAC
rnacentral:rRNA from 1 species